UUCGGAUUGUAGUCUGCAACCCGACUACAUGAAGCUGGAAUCGCUAGUAAUCGCAAAUCAGAAUGUUGCGGUGAAUACGUUCCCGGGCCUUGUACACACCGCCCGUCACACCAUGGGAGUUGGAAGCGCCCGAAGUCGAUGACCCAACCGUAAGGAGGGAGUCGCCGAAGGUGAAGCCAGUGACUGGGGUGAAGUCGUAACAAGGUAAC
rnacentral:rRNA from 1 species